UGAGAACAGAAUUUGGUACAUUGUUAGAAUUCUUGGGUGAUUCCUUCUAGGCAGGCAGAGCCACAAUAUUUAUCCUGUGAUGAGUCCUGAUCAUCAAAUAGCCAAUGAAGAAAAAAAAUAGAAGAGAAAAAAAAUUACAUAAUGUGCAAAUGCUGCUUCCACUACAUGAAAAUUAUUCUCCUUAAGUAAAAGAACUUUACAUAAAAUCAAGUAAAUUAAUGUAGGCAUCCCUUUCAUCACCAUUUUGCAGUACCAUGUAUGGCUUCAUGACUCAAAAGGCAAUCAAGGUGACCAAACUUAUAAUGGAUUGCACAACCAAAAACGGAGAGAAACAAGAUACAAAGAGUGGGAUGUUUGGAGGCA
rnacentral:lncRNA from 1 species